CCCUUAGAUGUUCUGGGCCGCACGCGCGCUACACUGACGGAGUCAACGAGUUGUCCUGCAUCGGAAGGUGUGGGUAAUCUUUUGAAACUUCGUCGUGCUGGGGAUAGAUCUUUGCAAUUUUCGAUCUUGAACGAGGAAUUCCUAGUAAGCGUGAUUCAUCAGAUCGCGUUGAUUACGUCCCUGCCCUUUGUACACACCGCCCGUCGCUACUACCGAUUGAAUGGUUUAGUGAGGUCUCGGGACUGGCGCGCUCGAGUAGCAAUACACCUGCGCGCCGGGAACUUGGUCAAACUUGAUCAUUUAGAGGAAGUAAAAGUCGUAACA
rnacentral:rRNA from 1 species